AUGCGACUAGCCAUGGAGACCUCCCCUUUGAUAAAGCUCAUCUCACUCACCCUCCUACUAGCCUCGGCCAUGGCUGGGCCAUCUUUGGAGGAACAGGCAGGAGCACUUCUUGCCUGGAAAGCCACACUAGAAAGCCAACCAGCCCAACUGCAAUCCUGGGAAAACACCUCAUGGCCGUGUAGCUGGCAUGGCAUCAGCUGCAGCAGCAAGCAUCAACAACAACCGGUGAUCACCGGGAUCUCUCUGCGAGGCUUGGGGCUCAGAGGGGAGCUCCACACCCUCAACUUCUCGGCGUUGGCAACCCUGACGAGUAUCCAGCUCGCGCAAAAUCAGAUAAGGGGCUCCUUACCACCUUCUCUAGCAUCAUCCUUGCCAAACCUCCGGCAUCUAAUGCUCCAGGCAAAUCAGCUCUCCGGUGAAAUACCAAGGCAUGUAAAACACCUAGAGGGCCUUGUGGCGCUGGAUUUGUCAAACAAUCACUUGUCUGGUCCCAUUCCCAGCGAACUAGGCUACCUAAGGAAGCUGCGUGCAUUAGAUUUUUCCAACAACAACCUCACAGGCCAUGUCCCAAGAAUUUUAGGGAAUUUAACCAAGCUCGCUAACUUGUCCCUGGCUGAUAACCAAUUAUCUGGAUAUCUUCCUCCAGAACUAGGUUACCUCGUGAAUUUACGAUGGUUGGUUCUUAGUCAAAACAAACUCAUGGGUUCUAUCCCGGCUACCUUGGGGAGAUUGGUUAAUCUCACUGUCUUGUACCUAUAUUAUAACCAACUUUCUGGACAUAUCCCUCAGGAACUAGGUUACCUCGUGAACUUACAAGAGUUAGAUUUUACCGGCAACGACCUCACAGGCCCUAUCCCAAGAAAUUUAGGGAAUUUAACCAAACUCAAUAACUUGUUUCUUGGUGAUAACCAAUUGUUUGGAUAUCUUCCUCGAGAACUAGGUUACCUGGUGAAUUUAGGAGGGCUGCAUCUUUGGCAAAACAAACUCAUGGGUUCUAUCCCCGCUACCUUUGGGAGUUUGCUUAAUCUCACCAGCUUGUACCUAAGGUAUAACCAACUUUCUGGGCACAUUCCUCGAGAACUAGGUUACCUCGUGAAGUUAUUUGAGUUAGAACUUCAACACAACAAACUCAUGGGUUUCGUUCCUGAUAUAUUUGGAAAUUUGACCAAGCUCAGUUACUUGUACCUGGGCGACAACCAACUUUCCGGACAUAUUCCUCGAGAACUUGGGUACCUAGUGAAUAUGAGAAAGUUAGAUCUUAGGAACAACAAACUCAUUGGUUCUAUCCCUGCUACCUUUGGGAGUUUGGUUAAUCUCACUAGCUUGGUCCUAUGGGACAACCAACUCUUUGGACGUAUUCCUCCAGAAUUAGGUUAUCUCAUGAACUUAGAAGAGUUAGGACUUAGCAACAACAAACUCGUGGGUUCCCUCCCUGAUAUGUUUGGAAAUUUGACCAAGCUCUCUCUCUUGCACCUGGAUGGUAAUAAAUUUUGCGGACAUGUUCCUCGAGAAAUUGGUACCUUAAUGGAUCUCCAAUAUCUACAGUUGAAUGGUAACAAUUUCUCCGGUCCCUUGCCACCUGACUUGUGUGCUGGAGGCAAGCUCGAGAGAUUGACUGCAUUUGAUAAUAACCUGAAUGGACCUUUGCCGUCAAGUCUGGUACAUUGCUUAAGCCUCGUUAGAGUUCGUCUUGAAAGGAAUCAAAUAGAAGGAGAUAUCUCUGAGUUGGGAAUUCAUCCCAAUAUGGUGUAUAUGGAUAUGAGCUCAAAUAAACUAUAUGGGCAGUUAUCUAACCAUUGGAGGGAUUGGCAUAAUCUUACCAAGCUGAACAUCUCAAACAACAACAUCAUGGGUAAUAUACCCACAAGUAUGGGACUGUUGUCUCAGUUAAAGGUGCUCGAUCUUUCAUCAAACAAACUUGAAGGGGAGCUUCCAAGUAAACUGGGCAAUGUAAAAAGUCUGUUCCAUUUGAGCCUCGCUGAUAAUUUGCUCUAUGGUAGCAUUCCACAAGAAAUUGGAGCAUUGUACAAUCUAGAGAUCCUAGAUUUGUCAUCAAAUAACCUAAGUGGUUCAAUAAAAGGUUCAGUUGAACAUUGCCUCAAGCUUCGCUUUUUGAAGUUGAGUCAUAAUAACUUUGAAGGAAACAUCCCUACCGAGCUAGGCGUGGUGUCAAGCUUACAAGGCCUGUUGGAUUUAAGCGACAAUUCAUUUGUUGGGGCGAUACCAAGCCAACUUAGUGGCCUGAGCAUGCUAGAUACUUUGAAUCUUUCACACAAUGAAUUGAAUGGCUCAAUUCCAGCAUCAUUUGGGAGCAUGGAAAGCUUAACAUCCAUUGAUGUAUCUUAUAAUGAAUUGGAAGGACCGAUCCCAGAGAGUAGGCUUUUCCUGAGAGCUCCACUCCAAUGUUUCAUGCAUAAUAAGAUGUUAUGUGGUGUAGUGAAAGGACUGCCCCCCUGUAGUAGUGCAACUCAGAGCGAAGGACAACGGACACCUUAUGGAAAAAUUGUACUAGCCACAGUCCCUAUUUUGAUAUCUCUUGUUCUUGUCAUAGCUAUACUUAAAUUUCGGCAUGAAAGGAAGAAAUCAAAGGCAACUUCCACUGAUAAUGUAACACAAUUAGCAAGCAUGUUCUCUGUUUGGAGCUUUGAUGGGACAAAUGUGUUCAAGCAAAUUGCUGAGGCAACUGACAAUUUCAGCGAGGUACAUUGCAUUGGAACCGGAGGAUAUGGGUCUGUGUACAAAGCUAGACUUGCAACAUGUGAAAUAUUUGCAGUGAAGAAGAUACGCACAAUAGAAGAUGAGUAUGGCGUCAAUGAGUCAAUGUUCAAUCGCGAGAUCGGGGCAUUGGUGCAGAUUCGACAUCGAAACAUCGUAAAACUAUUUGGGUAUUGCUCCUCAAGCCAAGGCAGAUUUCUUAUCUAUGAAUACAUGGAGAGAGGAAACUUGGCGGAAACACUUAGAACCAACAAAAGGGCAAUUGAAUUGGACUGGAAAAGGCGGGUAAAUAUUGUGUUGGACGUGAUUCAUGCUUUGGCAUACAUGCAUCAUGAUUGUACAUCACCAAUAGUUCACCGAGAUAUAACAAGCAGCAACAUUUUGCUUGAUGUGGAAUUUAGAGCUUUCAUCUCUGAUUUUGGUACGGCUAAAAUCCUCAAUGUUAGUGGCCCGAAUAUCACAAGGCUUGCUGGCACAAAAGGCUAUCUUGCUCCAGAGCUAGCGUACACAGAGAACGUGACUGAGAAAUGUGAUGUAUAUAGUUUCGGAGUGCUCGUUAUUGAGCUUUUUUUGGGAUCCCAUCCAGGCGAUUUGCUCUCAUCUAUCUACUUGACAACCAACAAGAAUGAUCUAUGUCUGAAGGAUCUGCUGGACUCUAGGCUCGAGCUUCCGGGCGCUGAAACCGCUAGAGAAAUAUACAGCGUGCUCAGCGUUGCAGUUCGGUGCCUAGAGCCUAACCCAUCACGCAGACCAACAACACGGCAUGCUAGUGAUGAGCUAUCUUCUGGGAACCAAACAUGUGAAGGUCAUCAUGUUGAUUAUCUACACGCCAACCUCACCAUUCCUACCUAG
rnacentral:rRNA from 1 species